rnacentral:rRNA from 1 species
AGCGAACGCUGGCGGCAGGCUUAACACAUGCAAGUCGAACGCAUCCUUCGGGGUGAGUGGCAGACGGGUGAGUAACACGUGGGAACGUACCCUUCGAUCUGGGAUAACUUCGAAACUGGAGCUAAUACCGGAUACGCCCUUUUGGGGAAAGGUUUACUGUCGAAGGAUCGGCCCGCGUCUGAUUAGCUAGUUGGUGGGGUAACGGCCUACCAAGGCGACGAUCAGUAGCUGGUCUGAGAGGAUGAUCAGCCACACUGGGACUGAGACACGGCCCAGACUCCUACGGGAGGCAGCAGUGGGGAAUAUUGGACAAUGGGCGCAAGCCUGAUCCAGCCAUGCCGCGUGAGUGAUGAAGGCCUUAGGGUUGUAAAGCUCUUUUGUCCGGGACGAUAAUGACGGUACCGGAAGAAUAAGCCCCGGCUAACUUCGUG